rnacentral:rRNA from 1 species
ACGAACGCUGGCGGCAUGCCUAACACAUGCAAGUCGAACGAGAAAGUCACUUCGGUGGCGAUUAAAGUGGCGCACGGGUGAGUAACGCGUAGACAAUCUGCCCUUCAGUCUGGGACAACUUUUCGAAAGGAGAGCUAAUACCGGAUAAGACCACAUUUCAUAAGGAAUGCGGUAAAAGGAGUCUCAAUCUUCACUCGAGGAUGAGUUCGCGCAACAUUAGCUUGUUGGUGAGAUAAAAGCUCACCAAGGCUACGAUGUUUAGCCGGCCUGAGAGGGUGAACGGCCACACUGGAACUGAGACACGGUCCAGACUCCUACGGGAGGCAGCAGUGGGGAAUAUUGCGCAAUGGGCGAAAGCCUGACGCAGCAACGCCGUGUGAGCGAUG